ensembl:lncRNA
AUGGGACUGGUGCACUGACAAGAACAAUGGGGUGAGCUCUCUUGUCCCUUCUGCCAGAGGAACUCAAAUAGGAGGUGCUGUCCAUGAGAUACUGGCCUCUGCCAACACCGAAUGUGAUUUUCUUCAUCAUGGACUGCCCAGCCUCCAGGACAGGAAGCAGUAAGUUUCUGUAGUUUAGAAGUUACCCAGUCUGAGGUACUUUGUUACAGCAGUCCAGAUGGACCAGGACGGGACCCUAUUUCUUGGCAGGUAUCACACAACACACAAUGAGGAUGCAACUUCCCAUGACACUCGUCCUUCACAGGGAUUGUAUGGGUUGAGGCAGACUGAGGAGCACAAAGCAGCAUAAUCUCUCUAUAUCGUUUGUAGACUCUCACAAGUCCCUCGGCUUGGGAAACACAGCAAACAGACAAGAAUCUAUCACCAACUCCACAAUAAGACCCCAGCAGACACAAAUGAGAGCACCCUAGAAGAGGGUCCAGUGAAACAUAUGUAUCAGUGUCUUAAUCACUGAUAAGAAGGAAGGAGACUAGAAGAUCCAAGUAACAGAGCCCAGGACUAUCAGCAUAAACUGUCUCUAUGGAUAAGAGGAGAUAUGACCUUCUGAAGGGGAAACCCAUCAGGGGUUACCUCUCAAAUCCUGCAAACUUCAGAGCCUUUCUGGAGCUAAGACAAGGAGAAAAAUCCAUCUAGCGGUGCAUUCAGGGCUGAGUUGAGGACCAAAUAGCAAAUUUCUGGGAGUACAAGUCUCCCUGCCACUGAGACCCCCUGUCCAGGAAGGGGGUGUGGCCCCAUUCUGCUGACUCAGUGGUCCCUAGGUUUGGAUGCUGUGACCACCAAGAGGAGGGUCACACCUAGGUUGGGGCCAAAACAACUAGCCAGUGUCAGUACCAGCAUCUGUGCUGGAGGUUGCGAUCUUCUCUGCUGCCCCCGGCCUCAUGCUGCAGGACAAAUCAUCUUUCAUAGGACCAGCAAUCAGUAGACUCUAGGGACACAGAGCCCCAGUGUUGGCCAGAGGCUCCAUAAAGGGAAAAGAAAAAACCAGGACAAGGCAUUUGAUUUGGAAUCAAAAUACACUGAGAAGCCGGAAGAACCAAAAAAAGCAAG